UUUUCGUUUUUCCGUGUUCAACGUUUAACCAUUUGUCUUAUUUGAAAUUUUUUUGCGAUUAAUAUUUUUAUUAUUACUAGAGGAUAAAAUAUAAAUAGUACUUUAUACGUGACUAAUUUUUUAGGUUUUAUACAAAUUUUUUAAAUAAAACAAAUAUUCAAACGUUAAAAAAAACAAAAAUAAGGUUAUA
rfam:Oryza brachyantha chromosome 2, whole genome shotgun sequence.